UACGGAGGGUGCGAGCGUUAUCCGGAUUCACUGGGUUUAAAGGGUGCGUAGGUGGGAAUGUAAGUCAGUGGUGAAAUCUCUGAGCUUAACUCAGAAACUGUCAUUGAUACUAUGUUUCUUGAAUUUUCUGGAGGUCAGCGGAAUAUGUCAUGUAGCGGUGAAAUGCUUAGAUAUGACAUAGAACACCAAUUGCGAAGGCAGCUGGCUACAGGGAUAUUGACACUGAGGCACGAAAGCGUGGGGAUCAAACAGG
rnacentral:rRNA from 1 species